rnacentral:rRNA from 1 species
AGUGAACGCUGGCGGUAGGCCUAACACAUGCAAGUCGAACGGCAGCACAGUAAGAGCUUGCUCUUACGGGUGGCGAGUGGCGGACGGGUGAGGAAUACAUCGGAAUCUACUUUUUCGUGGGGGAUAACGUAGGGAAACUUACGCUAAUACCUCAUACGACCUACGGGUGAAAGCAGGGGAUCUUCGGACCUUGCGCGAUUGAAUGAGCCGAUGUCGGAUUAGCUAGUUGGCGGGGUAAAGGCCCACCAAGGCGACGAUCCGUAGCUGGUCUGAGAGGAUGAGCAGCCACACUGGAACUGAGACACGGUCCAGACUCCUACGGGAGGCAGCAGUGGGGAAUAUUGGACAAGGGGCGCAAGCCUGAUACAGCCAUACCGCGUGGGUGAAGAAGGCCUUCGGGUUGUAAAGCCCUUUUGUUGGGAAAGAAAAGCAGCAGGUUAAUACCCCGCUGUUCUGACGGAACCCAAAGAAUAAGCACCGGCUAACUUCGU